GACGAACGCUGGCGGCGUGCCUAAUACAUGCAAGUUGAGCGAUGAAGAUUGGUGCUUGCACCAAUUUGAAGAGCAGCGAACGGGUGAGUAACGCGUGGAUAAUCUGCCUUUGAGAGUGGGACAACAUUUGGAAACGAAUGCUAAUACCGCAUAAUAACUUUAAACAUAAGGUUUAAGAUUGAAAGAUGCAUUUGCUUUCCUCAAAGAAUAUACCGCGUUGUAUUAGCUAGUUGGUGAGGUAAAGGCUCACCAAGGCGAUGAUACAGAGCCGGACCGAGAGGGGUAUCCGCCAACUUGGGACUGAGACACGGCCCAAACUCCUACGGGAGGCAGCAGUAGGGAAUCCUCCGCAAUUGACGAAAGGCUGAACGAGGCACGCCGGGGGAGUUAAGGAGGUUCUCGGAACGGAAAACUCCGGUGGUAGAGAAGAAAGUUGGGGAGAGGGGAAAGCGCAUCAAGUGACGGUAACUACUCAGAAAGGGACGGCUAACUACGUG
rnacentral:rRNA from 1 species